AUUGAACGCUGGCGGCAGGCCUAACACAUGCAAGUCGAACGGUAACAGAAAGCAGCUUGCUGCUUUGCUGACGAGUGGCGGACGGGUGAGUAAUGUCUGGGAAACUGCCUGAUGGAGGGGGAUAACUACUGGAAACGGUAGCUAAUACCGCAUAACGUCGCAAGACCAAAGAGGGGGACCUUCGGGCCUCUUGCCAUCGGAUGUGCCCAGAUGGGAUUAGCUAGUAGGUGGGGUAACGGCUCACCUAGGCGACGAUCCCUAGCUGGUCUGAGAGGAUGACCAGCCACACUGGAACUGAGACACGGUCCAGACUCCUACGGGAGGCAGCAGUGGGGAAUAUUGCACAAUGGGCGCAAGCCUGAUGCAGCCAUGCCGCGUGUAUGAAGAAGGCCUUCGGGUUGUAAAGUACUUUCAGCGGGGAGGAAGGGAGUAAAGUUAAUACCUGUGCUCAUUGACGUUACCCGCAGAAGAAGCACCGGCUAACUCCGUG
rnacentral:rRNA from 1 species